GUUUAUUCAUUUGAGUAAGUAUACUUGUAUAAUAAAAAUAUCCGAAGAUUGAAGUCUUCACUGAGUAUAACCCAUAUAAUACAAACACAGAGUAAAGGCUUAACUCACAAAAUCUAUGAAGGUUAAGCAUUGACUAGAUAAUUUCACUCUGCUAUUCUUUUUCUGAAACCAUUAUACCAUACUCUUUUCAUUUUAUGAUGAUAAAAUGAUAAAAUGAACCAUUAUACCAUACUCUUUUCAUUUUAUGAUGAUAAGAUGAUAAAAUGAUGUUUCACAAUACAUAUAAUCUUAAUUUCCAUUAGUUUAGUUUAUUCAUUUGAGUAAGUAUACUUGUAUAAUAAAAAUAUCCGAAGAUUGAAGUCUUCACUGAGUAUAACCCAUAUAAUACAAACACAGAGUAAAGGCUUAACUCACAAAAUCUAUGAAGGUUAAGCAUUGACUAGACACAAUGUUUUCUUCUUAUUGUGUAAUACCAUCAUAUUUCUAAAACAUAAACAUCCUGAAAAGGCUGUUAUAUCGUCGAAUGGGGGUGGACAUAAAAAUCAUACAC
rnacentral:lncRNA from 1 species